UUACAUAAUCAAAUCUCAAACGGACCUGAUUCACACCUCCCAAAACAUCUCAUUUCAUUCAUCUGUUUCGUACCCUGUUGGCCUUCUUCCUUACCUUGCCGAUCGGCGCCACCGCGCUACUUGCCUUGCUGUCACCGCCGUUAGACUUUCCGGCGUUGGUUCUCUACUCGCCGCUAGUGCUCAUCGCUUGUCGCCACUAAUCUCCACUCGCCGCCACUGCUCUUCGUUCGUCGUCGCUAGUCUCCACUCGCCUUCGGUGCAAACGCAGUAGAGGAGAAGACGAAGAGAGAGGGAGAGAGAUGCAGCAGAGGAAACCUACAAUUGGAAAUGGGAGGCCAUCCGGAACGGACGGUUCUGAUUUCUCCUAUCGUAUGGUCGUCGACUCAAGGUAUACAAAGGUAGCAAAAGGGAAGUCUCGUCUCUCCUCACUCAUCUUCAUUCAGGUACUCUUCUCUCUCACACCCACAGUCACACAUACACUUAUUUACAUGUGAAUUGAAGUGACCUUGGUGCUUUUGUUUGAAUUAACGGGUACGAUUAUAUGUGCCAAAAUCGUUCUCCAAAUUUAUUUUCCCUCUGAAUCAUUUUUUCCCCUAAUGUGGCGUGCUCUGUUCAUGUUUUGUGAUUUUUGUUGUUUUGUUCGAAAACAUUUCAAUGUAAUUUUUGGAGGAAUUUAAGAAUAACUCUUUGUGCUGGACUAGAUAUGGACUUACACUUCAUUUGGUAUAUGAAUUGAGAAAA